AGCGGGUUCCGUUUAUUUCGGAUUCCCCGGGUUGAAUUUGGGGUUGCUUGUCCAGAUGGUCAGUGAUUUACCUGUGAUGAUGGUGAUAUAUCCUCCGGUUCCGUUUAUUUCGGAACCCCGAGUUGGAUUUGUGGUUAAUCAGUCCCUCAGAUGGUUGUGAUCAGUUCGGAGACCGGAAUUCAGUAUAGUUAAUGUUCAGAUGACUUGGAGGAUGGCACAGUGACUUGCAUUCAUGCAUCUGCAUCACUCCCAUUUGGCAUUCAUCCGCAUCUAACUCAUGUC
rnacentral:lncRNA from 1 species